UCAUCCAUUGAUGAAGUGAGAUAGACCCUAUGUUUCUUUUAUUUUGGCACAAUGAUGAUUGGAUAACUCUAAAAGACACUCUAUUGAAACUCAUCUCAUUUACUGAUGUUAUUGGGCAUCAACUACAGAAAUUAAUCCUGCUGAAUUCAGUAUGUCACUCAAAAUACUGUGCCCUCCCUCCCCACCUCAGCAGAAGAAAUGAAGAAGACGUUCUCCUAUGACAAUAGACAAAAGGGAUGAA